GGGACAGCUCUUCCUUCACAUUCUCUUCAGGGUUUCUCUAGUAGUCUCUCUGAAAAAAAAAUGGCCGACGUUGAAUACAGGUGCUUCGUCGGUGGUCUGGCAUGGGCCACCACCGACCAAACACUUUCGGAAGCUUUUUCUCAGUACGGCGAAGUGGUCGAAUCCAAGGUCUGUUGCAGGGCAGAGAUCGGAUCCGAGCCUUUGGCUUCGAUGACCCUCUGUUACUGAAUUGUGAUCUGUUACUAUUCUCUGGUUUACUUGACUGUUACUGUUACUCUAUGUUACUGUUACUAUUUGUUACUAUUAUUCCAAUUCCCCGAAACGGUACGUUCCGUCUUCCUCUGUUUUUACACGAGAUGAAGAUAGAUCGCUUUUAUGUUUCUCCCCCUCAUGCUUUUUUCUUUCCGAUCUGCUUUGUUUUGGUUGUUAAUUUGUAGAUCUGUUUGGAUCUGACGCAAUUGUUAUGUUCUUUUUUUAUAACUUUUUCAGAUCAUCAAUGACCGGGAAACUGGUAGAUCUAGAGGAUUU
rnacentral:misc_RNA from 1 species